rnacentral:rRNA from 1 species
ACUCAAAUGAAUUGACGGGGGCCCGCACAAGCGGUGGAUUAUGUGGUUUAAUUCGAAGCAACGCGCAGAACCUUACCUGGGCUUGACAUCCCUUGACAACCCUAGAAAUAGGGCUUUGUAGCAAUACACAAGGAGACAGGUGCUGCAUGGCUGUCGUCAGCUCGUGUUGUGAAAUGUUGGGUUAAGUCCCGCAACGAGCGCAACCCCUGGAUUUAGUUGCCAGCAUUAAGUUGGGCACUCUAAAUUAACUGCCAGCGUUAAGCUGGAGGAAGGUGGGGAUGACGUCAAGUCCUCAUGGCCCUUACGCCCAGGGCUACACACGUAAUACAAUGGAUAGGACAAAGGGUUGCGAACCUGCAAAGGGGAGCUAAUCUCAAAAACCUAUCCUCAGUUCGGAUUGGGGGCUGCAAUUCGCCCCCAUGAAGGCGGAAUCGCUAGUAAUCGUGGAUCAGAACGCCACGGUGAAUACGUUCCCGGGCCUUGUACACACCGCCCGU